rnacentral:lncRNA from 1 species
GCGACCCCCGCCCUGCAGCGGAGCCGAGGGAGUCGUGACCCACGGCUGACCCCGCGCCGCCCGCCCUGGCUCUGGCGCCGGCGCAGGCGCAGCUGAGUCAAACUGGGGUCGCGGCUCGGUGGGGCGCAGCGCUUUCCUAGCGCGGGGGAGGAGGGCGCCUCUGGAACGCAGACCCCCAGGGGACGCGCCUGGGUCCAAGCGGAGUUCCGACUUCAGCCUCGGCGGGGGGCUCCACCCAGGUGGGCCCUGCGGGUGGCUCCCUCAGGGGAAGCCUAGGGCAGCCUGACCACGGCUGACCUCCGUGACCACCGGCGUUCCGGGCACCACGGGGCGAUCCUGGGGUGGGAGUGGGGUCCUCGCAGACCUGGUCAAAAGGUGGCUGGGAAAUGACUGAACACCCCAAGUCCUGGCACGGGUGCAGUCCAGCCUCUGCCCUUGUGGAGUUUAUAGUUUUUUUGUGGGUUUGUGGCUUUUUUUUUUGUUUUUGGUGUUUUAUACAGUGAGCUCGGAAGUUACCCGGAGACCUUGAAUUGUUUGUUUAGAGGCAGGGUCUCGCUCUGUGGCCCAGGCUGGAGUGCGGCGGCGCGAUCAGAGCUCACUCCAGCCUCAACCUCUUGGGGUCAAGUGAUCCUCCUGCCUCAGCCUCCCAGACCACAGGUGCGUGCCACCGUGCCCGGCCUUGAGUUGGUUUUCAAAGGUAGUGAAGGUCUAAUUGGAAGGAAAAAAGUCAAUACACGCAUAAGACACAGGAUAAACAUUUCAGUGUUUGUUCCAGUGAAGAUGUGAAAACAGCCCAAGCCUCUGGUGGAAGAUUUGAGAAAUAAACCACGGUUGAGACAGGGGAUGGGUUCCUGGCAGGUUAUUAGUAGUGAUGCUGAGGUCGCUGGGGCCCAGCUGAUGAUCGCGAUACAUUGUACAGCAGAAGGCUGGCUUCUAAGACAGAGGUAGGAGCCCACAUGGAAAGCAGAGAUAAAAUGAUGCAUGCCACAUCCUAAACCCUGGUGGGUCUGGGGUGAUUCAAUUACCACUUUGUUUCAGUAUCUUUUGUAGGCAUUUUAAUUUUCUUCUUUUUGCUUAUCCACAUUUUCUUUUCUUUUUUUUUUUUUUUUUUUUUUUUUUUUUUUGAGAUGGAGUCUCACUCUCUCGCCCAGGCUGGAGUGCAGUGGCGCGAUCUUGGCUCACUGCAAGCUCCGCCUCCCGGGUUCACGCCAUUGUCCUCCCUCAGCCUCCUGAGUAGCUGGGACUACAGGUGCCCGCCACCACGCCCGGCUAAUUUUUUUGUAUUUUUAGUAGAGACGGGGUUUCACAAUGUUAGCCAGGAUGGUCUUGAUCUCCUGACCUUCUGAUCUGCCCACCUCGGCCUCCCAAAGUGCUGGGAUUACAGGUGUGAGCUACCGAGCCUGGCCACUUAUCCACAUUUUCUAAUUUUUAUAAAAUAAUUUUGUGGUUUUCUAUUUUUAAAUUUCUUUUUAAGAAGUGGAAAGAACAGGACAACAGGGUUGUGGAGAAGCAGUACUGACUGACGGAGUCUAUUGGGACUGGAGCCCCCUGUUGGGGGUGGAGAACAGACUGCAGCUGUCUGAGAUACAGAACAGAAUAGAGCGAUAGUCCUCCCUUUACCUCCUGCCAUGUGGACUAAAGAUUGCUCGCUACCCAUUAAGCACUAACGAAUGUAAAACAAUGGGGCCUAAAAUGUCGAAAUAUCUACACUGUUAGAUUUAAAUGAAUUCAACACAUUUUUAAUGUAUUUUUAUUUUUUUAGGCACGUGACCUUGCUGUGUUGCACAGGCUGGCCUCUCUUAAUUGUCAGACUCGAAAGUCUACCUUCUUUUUUAUUUAUUUUAUUAUUUUUUUGAGAUGGAGUCUGGCUCUGUCACCCAGGCUGGAGUGCAGUGGCGCAAUCUUGGCUCACUGCAACCUCUGCCUCCCAGGUUUAAGUGAUUCUCCUGCCUCAGCCUCCUGAGUAGCUGGGAUUACAGGCACGUAGCACCACGCCCGGCUAAUUUUUGUAUUUUUAGUAGAGACAGGGUUUCACCUUGUUGGCCAGGCUGGUUUAGAACUCCUGACCUCAAGUGAUCCACCCACCUCGGCUUCUCAAAGUGGUGGGAUUACAGGCAUGAGCCACUGCGCCUGGCCUCUACCUUCUUUUUUAAAACAAUAUGGAGCUUCAUGAAUUUGUGUGUCAUCCUUGCACGGGGCCCAUGCUCACCUCUGUGUCAUUCCACUUUCAGUACAUGUGCUGCCAAAGUGAGCACAAAAGUCCACAUCCUUGGAUAGUUCAAGUGCAGUGGUGUUUACAACUAACUGAUCACAACCACGUAUGGAUUUCUUUCUCUACUCCCACUGCUUCACUUGACUAGCCAAAAAAGUCUACAUUCUUAACUUCAGCACUUCAGUGUUUAAAUUGCAAGUGUUCUAAAUGAGGACAAACCUCCCCCUAACUUUUUUUUUUUGAGAUGGAGUUUUCGCUCUUGUUGCCCAGGCUGAAGUGCAAUGGCACGAUCUGGGCUCACUGCAACCUCUGCCUCCUGGGUUCACGUGAUUCUCCUGCCUCAGCCUCCCGAGUAUCUGGGAUUACAGGCAUGCACCACCAUGCCCAGCUAAUUUUGUAUUUUUAGUAGAGACAGGGUUUUACUAUGUUUGUUAGGCUGGUCUCAAACUCCCGAACUCACGUGAUCUGCCUGCCUUGGCCUCCCAAAGUGCUGGGAUUAUAGGUGUGAGCCACUGUGCCCGGCCGAGAAUGAACCCCCUUUUUUAAAAAAUUUAUUUAUUUAUUUAUUUAUUUGGGACAGAGUUGUGCUCUGUUGCCUUGGCUGGAGUGCA